GACGUAGGGGGCCAGCGUUGUUCGGAAUUACUGGGUGUAAAGGGUUCGUAGGCGGUGCGGCAAGUCGGGAGUGAAAUCUCUGGGCUUAACCCAGAGGCUGCUUCCGAAACUGCUGUGCUUGAGUGUGGGAGAGGCGCGUGGAAUUGCAGGUGUAGCGGUGAAAUGCGUAGAUAUCUGCAGGAACACCCGUGGCGAAAGCGGCGCGCUGGACCACUACUGACGCUGAGGAACGAAAGCUAGAGGAGCAAACAGG
rnacentral:rRNA from 1 species